ACAAGAGCAAACAAGAGGAGCCAACUUUCACGCAAGCGGGGAGCUUAUGCAAACUUGUACGAAGGUACUCAUCAAAUCAGGACUCAGACUCUGGAGUCUGGCGCGGCUAGACAGCCUUUCUAAUCCACUGCUCCACCCUUUCAUCAUCAUAAUUUCAAAGGUUCCUCUUGAUGUUCACUCACCGAGUCCUUAAUGUGCAGCAACCGGGAGUCCGAGUGACGCUGACCUGUCCAGCAGAUCGCGCGCGUUAGUGUCAGUGUGAGCGUGGACGAGUUUACCCGCGCGCGGGAUCUGCCAUUCCGUUGUGUUGUUUGUUGCUUACUGCACGCGCGAUUCGCGUCUCCGUGAUGAGUAUGUGAGGCAAAAGGAACAAAACGAAGUGGAAACAAGAAAGAAAGAAAGAAAGAAAGAAAGAAAGAAAGAAAGAAAGAAAGAAAGAAAGAAAGAAAGAAAGAAAGAAAGAAAAUGGAUUAAAAAUAUGGAGCAAAAAGGACUAAGCCCAUUCAACAUGUUUCUAGUCGUUUUCUGCCUGGUCAUUUUUCAGGCACUUUUCGCAUAUUCAUCAGAUGAAUCUUCUAACUCAAGCAGUGAUUCAGCAACAGUCACAGCUUCUUCAGAUAACGAACCUUCUAGUACGAACACUGAAUCAAC